CCGUGCUCUGAGUUCCCAUCAAGCAGGAUAUGUAGGAAAAACAUGUUCAGCGUUCAAGGUCAGGGACUCCAGAGGUGGCCAAGGGGGAGCAUCUCCUUUGUAACAAAGAAUGUCUGUAUGGCAUACCAUGAUCUCCUUGGAGCUGGCCAUGCAAGGAGGGAAAAGGCAACAGAUAGCUGGCUGGGCUAGAUGCCGUGGGUAGAUCCCAGCAGCGGAUGUUUUGUCCAGUCUGCUGUUCCUGGACUCCCUGUGCGUUCCCCUCUCCGUGGGGAUGGCUGCGGGCAUGCGGUGCCCGGGGCUGGCCCUACUUACCCUGGACUGCACUGGACGCUACACCCGGGACGCUACAUCCCUGCCUGCCCGGGCCGUCUACUCACUCGCUUACAGGAGAAACCUACCAGCUGGAAGGUGGUCAGGGCCCGACGUAGAACCAAACACACAUCUUAGUGGCUCUGUCCCCUGGCCAUGGUCUUCCCCUCUGCGGCCGCCACGGAUGCAAGGGGGCAAGACACACGGCUGCCAUCUUUAAUUCCUCCUGCAAGGCAAUCCCCCUCCUUACCUAGGAGAGUUCCCGAAUGAGGCAAGUCGUUCUGCAAAGUGGGAGAGCUCGUGAUGUGUUAACCGUAACACGAGGGACACGCGCUCUCAUCAAAACCGAAUGCUGCUCAUAUACACCUGAACGUUCCCACGACGUCUCCCAAGCCACGGCUAGUUCAAGCACACAGAGUAAACCUGCUGAUUCCCUGGCCACUGACCCGGCUGGGUUCAAUCGCUCGCCUUCUUCCUAGCAAAAUGCUUUCCAGAGUCUCACCAUCGUUUGUGUUUCCCUAGCCCCGGGAUGCUGCGGCUUGCACCGUGGCUCUGGGAUUUGGUUACAGUGCACCUCGGCAUACCGGCUCCAGCGACGCCGCGGAUGAGAGGCGUGAGAAGAACGUGUGGGCCGUCCAGGGUGCACAGGGGUGGAGCGUACGGGACCGUGCUGCUGGCUGCUUUGCUCACGCACACCCCGAACACCCCUGUCCAUCACUGUCUUGAGGAUGUCCACAUCCUGCGCUCCCUCUGUAUUCCCAUCAAGCAGGAUAUGCAGAAAAAAAUAUGUUCAGUGUUCAAGGUCAAGGGCUCGGGGGGCGGCCAGCCUGGUGCGCCUCCUUGAUAACAAAGAAUACCCGGAUGACAGGCCUUGAUCUCCUUGGAGCGCUGGUCAGGCGACGAGGGGGAGGACUGCAGAUAUUUGCUAGGCUACUUGCGACCCUACAGAAGCGUGCUGUGCACAGAGUCCCGCAGCAGAUGCUUUGGGGGGGCUCCAGGAGGGGGACAGAGGCUGACAAGGCUGGGCUCCCGAGCCCCACUUCACCCACAGAGAUAACGUAAACAAAGGGUGCUGCUGUUUUAAAAAGUGAUAAUGAAGUCUGAGCCCGUGAGAUGACCCAGCAUCCCCAUCAUCAGCUACAUCCGCUUGAUGGGGACAUGGGCUCUGCAGCCGGACCGGCCGGGUGCCCAUCCGGGAUCCUCUACCUACAUGCUCAGUGACCUUGUACAAGUCACAUCACCUCUCUGUCUCAGAUUCUCACGUGCAAGAUGCUACAACGGCAGAGUCACGGGGUAGCCAUGAGAGGAGCCACGUGAAGGGCUGAGAACAGAGCCCGGCAUGUGGUAAACACUUAACAGACAGCAGCUCCCAUCACAAGGGAUUACGGUGACAGCAUGGCCUCAAAUAUGGGAUGCCAGCGGCCCCGAGAUGUGCCGUGACUUUACGGACCCCGGCAAGAGCAAAAAAGCUGGUAACAAAACAACGAAGCUAUGUGGGUCUGAAGACACAUCCUGAUUUCAGAGCUGUUGACACAGUGUAACAGGUGCCUCUGAGAAGGACCAGCUUUCAUAACCGAAAGCUCUUCUCAGGCUCCUUUAUAGAGUUUCCAAAGCCACCAGCACAGGGAUGAGCACGCAGCAGGCAUUUAAAAAUGCCAUCGAGUUCUGAGCCUCAUCACAGGUGGGACCACCCGUCUCCACCUCCGUCUCCCUAGCCCAUGGCCUGAUUCCUGUAUACAUGGCGCAUACAGCUUGCUCCACGAAGCAACCAACGUGCGGGGCUUUCUGAGCACCCAGCGCUGCGUGGACAGAGCUCAGCCUUCCUGCCUGCUCCUUCUCUCCGCCCUUUACUUCCUUGUCAAGCGAACCCCUUCGUGUUUCCACCCCACACCAGGGAAAAUACUCCGGGGUCAAAAAUGAUCAGAUGGCCUCCCCUAAACACAGGACAGGGUUUAGAGGACAAUUCUGCUUCUCUCCAUUUUCAAGGGUGAAAUGUGAUCGUUCUACCCCCCAGGGAGCCAAAACCCCUUCUGGCCUGGACAAUCACUUCCAAAUGAUGGAUUUGGAAACCUCCCUGCCAUCUGUUCUUGAUUCUGGACUGGCUGUCUGGCUCAGCUUAACAUCCUGGGGUGGCCUCCCCCCGCCCCACACCGGGGCCUCCAUCGUCCCUUCCUUCCGCCCCAUCUCCCAGCAAGCUGGAGGCUCCGAGACAGCACUUGGCAGGCAAUUCGAGGUCAUCCCAGAGGGCCCACGUCCGUACCUGCAAGUUUGGAGGAAAUGGGGGUCUGUGGGGAUGGCUGAGCUGGAAGAGGAACACCAAGUGGGAGUCAGAUCCGUUCAGCUGGACUGAGACCUGUUGAGAGGCCGAGGGGGAGGGGGAGGGUCAGAGGGAGCAGAGGAGGGAGAGGGAGAACCCCAGAAGGUAGCUGGCUGGGCGCUCCAAGGGGGACGGUCAUCCCAGAGUUUGCCCAAAGCCCAGGCCAACGGCACCUUCUGUGAUGCUUCUUGGCCCCAGAUGUUACUCAGGCUCUGUUACUUGCAAGCGUGAGAAGUACAGCCCCAGACAUGGGGCUGGGAAGAUAACUCUGGGACCCUGGAACCCCUACGUCCCCUGCCACGGUGCCUGCUCAUGUCUCCCAUGUCCACGGCUGCAUUCUAUCUGACCCUGGCCAGGAAGUAGGCACUGGACAACUGGCUUUACAACCGUCGCCUCAUUUAAUCGUCACCGCUCCUCUCACACGCUGGUGGCCUCCACCUCCCUGCUCUUGGCCUGGGUGAGCGAGAACCAGUGGCAUUCAGAGACGUGACUUCCCAUUUCCAAGGGCCUGCAGAAGCCACCCCGGGAACCCAGCGGUGAGAACAAAGUGGUCCCAAGAUGUCUACCCACCCACUCACAGGGCAGGGAGUGGGACCAAGCGCACCAGGGUCUUUCCAACAGGGAUGGUCAAGUCCGGUGCCCACAGGCAGAGUUUGUGGGGUGGGCCUGAGGGGGCAAACUUGAGGGUCUGUGUCUCAUUCCAAAGGAGUGUCCUGGUAUUAGUCUGUUUUGUUCACUGCUGUAUGCCUCAUAUUUAACGCAGGACCUGGUGCAUAGUAGGUGCUCAAGAAAUAUCUGGAAGAAUCCAGAAUCACCAGUGAUAGCCUGCAACCCCAAGGCCAAAGACAGGCUGGAAAAGAGAGAGAGAGGGACGGAGGGAGGGAGGGAGGAAGGAGGGGAAGUUGCUAUUUCUGCUGGCUUUGAAGACAGAGAAGGAACCACAACCCAAGAACCAUGGGUGGCUUUAACAAGUUAGCAAAGACGAGGAAACGGAUUCUCUCCUGAAGCUUCUGGAAGGCAUGUAACUCCAGCAACACCUGAUUUUAGCCAGGUGAAACUCAUUUGGGAUUUCCCAUCUCCAGAUCUCCAAGGUAAGAGUGUGCUGUUUUAAGCCACCAAGGGUGUGGUACUUUGUGCGACAGCCAUAGGAUCCUACCACCCGUGGGGGGAUCAUCUGUUCACUUAGCAGCCACUAGCCUCUGCCACAUGCCAAGCACCCGGGAGCAGGGCGCCAUCUGUGCCCAUCUGGGUUCACUAAGAAGUUACAAACGCCUUGCCACAGAAUUUUAUCGCUAGUGUAUAACUUUAGAAGAAUACACGGCUUUAAUUUAGAAACAACAGGGAAUAGGAAUAAAUUCUUCCAAGAGAAGAAAAGGAAAGCGUGCCAUUAAACACAGAGAGGGUUUUGAAAAGAACGGGCAGCCAGGGUGCCCGUGGGUGGCUCAGUCGGUUAAGCGUCCGACUUCGGCUCAGGUCAUGAUCUCCCAGUUCGUGGGUUCGAGCCCCACGUCGGGCUCUGUGCUGACAGCUCAGAGCCUGGAGCCUGCUUCGGAUUCUGUGUGUCCCUCUCUCUCUCUGCCCCUGCCCCGCUAGUGCUCUGUCUCUCUCUCUCAAAGAUAAACAUUAAAGAAGAACGGGCAGCCAUACUCAGCUAGAUUCAAAGGCUCCCGCCUACUUGGUUCUCGUUUCUUGUUACCAGGUGGGAUUUGGGACCCCAUGUGUCAGAUCUUCUGAUUCCUUUUUAAUUAGAAGCAGAAAUCUGAUUUUUACCCCCAAAUCUUCCGAUGUUCGAUGUUGACGAUGUUUUAAAACAUGUUAAGUGCUAAGCAGGCCAAACAAAACACAUCUGGAGGCUGGAUCCGGCCCACGGCGCCAUUCUGCAAUCUCCGGUUUAAACAACACUGAACACCGUGGGGAGGUAUUUCUGCAGGUGUUUGGGGUCGUCAUUAUGCCCUCUGUUUCCUGUCAGGAGCUCCAAGGCCUUCAGCCUCAAGCCUCUGGCAGCCAUCUACAGCCCUGUUUAACUGGUAGGGAUGUGGGGCUCCAGAAGGAGAGGUCUCUGUGCUCAAUAGCUGGUCCCACUUCACCCUUCAGCAGGCCUCUGUAUAUCCCGCAAGAGAGAAACCACCACUAAGUUCUUCGUCCAGGGCCUGGCACAUAGUAGGUGCUCAAUAAAUGCUUGCUGGAGAACGGGGUUACCUCCGGGGGCUUCUGCCCUAGAGGGAUCAGGAAGGAGUCCGGGAUGAGGGCUGAGGGGGCACCCGUCAGGUCCCCGAGGGAGAGGAUUACGUUACAUCUUGGUUCUCACAACCACUGCGUUAAGAGAUGUGUACUGUCUCCAUUUUACAGACGGGAAGACGGGGGUCCAGAGUUGUGGAAUCGUUUGCCAAGGGCACCUUGCAAACACGAGUCUCAUGCCUAGGAAGACGAAUGCGAACACAUUCUGAGGCAGGGGUUCAGGAAGCUACGGCCAGAGAGUCAGGCUGGGCUCGUUUUCUGUGUAUACGGUUGUGUUUGUCAGUGGGGGCUGCUGUAACAACAAUCCCAGAGACCGGGUGGUUUAAGCAACUGGAACUUAUUUCUGCCAGUUCUGGAGGCUGGAAAUCUGAGAUCAGGGCGCGCCGGCGUGGCUGAGUUCUGGCUUACACGUGGCUGUCUCCUUACUGUGCCCUCAUGGCGGG